GUCAGAGGUUCGAAGGCGAUUAGAUACCGCCCUAGUUCUAACCGUAAAUAUGUCAUCUAGCGAUCCGCCGACGUUACUACAAUGGCUCGGCGGGCAGCUUCCGGGAAACCAAAGAUUUUGGACUCCGGGGGGAGUAUGGUUGCAAAGCUGAAACUUAAAGGAAUUGACGGAAGGGCACCACCGGGAGUGGAGCCUGCGGCUUAAUUUGACUCAACACGGGAAAUCCCACCAGGCCCGGACACCGGAAGGAUUGACAGAUUAACAGCUCUUUCUUGAUUCGGUGGGUGGUGGUGCAUGGCCGUUCUUAGUUGGUGGAGCGAUUUGUCUGGUUAAUUCCGGUAACGAACGAGACUCUAGCCUGCUAAAUAGGCGUCGUCAUUUAGGUGUGCGUGGCUCCGUCACGCAACUCACUGGCGACGUAUUAAAAUUCUUCUUAGAGGGACCGGCGGCUUCGAGCCGCACGAGAUUGAGCAAUAACAGGUCUGUGAUGCCCUUAGAUGUCCUGGGCCGCACGCGCGCUACACUGAAGGAAUCAGCAUGUUCUCCCUGGCCUAAGC
rnacentral:rRNA from 1 species